rnacentral:rRNA from 1 species
GCUUACGGCCAUACCACCCUGAACACGCUCCGAUCUCGGAAGCUAAGCAGGGUCGGGCCUGGUUAGUACUUGGAUGGGAGACCGCCUGGGAAUACCAGGUGCUGUAAGCU